UUAUGUUCACAUGACGAUGAUUUUAAUAGCAAUUUCUUUCAAGUGUUACGUUUCCCGAGCAGACGGCAACAUCUGACGAAUAUCACUUUUAGCUAUUUAAAAUUGAAUUACUGGCGAACAAGAAGUGCUAUUGGUUUGUUUGAGAUAAGAGCUAAAACAUCAAAAAUAAUAUCAAAAAUUUAUAUGGGAAACAGCUCAAUAAUAUCUCGAUAAGAUAUUGCAAGAUCAAAAUAAUAUCAGUCAACAGUUGCCGACGGAACGGCAAAUCAAUAUCAAAAUAUGAUCUGACAUCUGACAAAAAAGAAAAAAAAGUAACGAAAAGCCAAUAACCAGUAUUGAACUCAUGACCCUCGGAUCAGCUGGUGGUGAUAGUUACCACUCAUCUGUUGCUUAUUGCUGAAAUCAUGAAGUAAAAAGGAGCAUCAUGUUCUUCGUUUUUACACCCAACGAAACAACUAACGCCAUUACACUAACAUUUAAUCACCGUGUGGAUGUAUGUGUGUAAGUUCUUUUAAAAGAACAACAUUUGAUCUUGUGUAGAUAUUAUCUGCUAUCUCAAUGUCAACAAAAGUUUCGAGAAAAAAGUAAAAAAAAUGCACAGUUUCAGACUUGUUGAAGUUGUUUUGAUCGUAAAACGUUUUUUGCCAAAUACAUGUUGUGUGAUGAAUUUGGGCCUCCGCAGAGACCGUCUACAUUCGCGCGUAGAAUAGGCUGAAGAAAUAGGAUCGACUAAUCGCUUAUUGGUCGGAAAGUGCGGUCGCACGGAAGUAUCUUCUACGAAAUGCUCUCGAGUUCGCGAAAUUCAAGCUUCGCGGCCGGUACCGAACCGUAGGCACAAUAAUUCUACAAGCCCUACUGUGCCAAAAGGGGCUUAAGUAAAAGGUUAAUAUGUGCUUUCGACGGAAUUUCAAUAGCAGAACUAGCCUUGGUGGAAUAAGUAGUGUGCCGGUGGUGGAUGUAAUUGAUAGAAGUAUGUAAGUAUGUAAUAUCCUAGAGCAAAAAAUCAUGUGAAUGUCAACAUUACUCAGAACCAAUCAUUACUUUCAUAAGUGGCCUUUUGCAAUGAAUUUAUGUGAAGAGAGUCAAUACCUUUUUUGGGUCGUUUGUGCUCAUACAAAAACAGUCUAAACAGUUCUGAAAAUCGCAAAAAAAACUGUACUAAUUACUGAAAGUUUUUAUUAUUAACACUUAAAACACGUAUGAAGCAUUAUCCGUGGUCGCAUGGCAUGCAAUUUGCAUAUCAAUUUGUAUCCAUUUACGUGAAUUUGAAAGUGCGGCUGACCCAAUAUCAUACUGAGAGCUAAAAUUGCUAUCAUAUCACUUUCAGUUAUGAUUGUGAUAUGCAAUAAAUUUUUGAAUAACACUUUAAUAACACCUUGUGCUAUGAUAUCAAAAUUUGUUCGAUAUCAGCUAUGAUUCAGAUAUUCUCGUCUGCCCGGGUUGCUAUUCAAAAUCAUAGUCGCCGAAACAUAUUCACCCAAUCUAGAAGGAUUGAGUUUGGCCAAUAGAGUGGCCAAUCAUAAACUAGGUGACAAUUGUGAGCGCAUGUAAAAUUUGAACAAAAACGCUGCGAACGCCACAGAUGGGCAAUUGGCCAACUAUUAAAUUUUUAAAUAAACGUGAAUCGGUGUACGUGGGAAUUAUUAGUGCUGCGUCUGUUUGUUUGUGAUAGGGUUCUGGAAAACAUCUAGUCACGUAAGACAAAGUACAUCAA